UACAGAGGGGUCAAGCGUUGUUCGGAAUUACUGGGCGUAAAGGGCGCGUAGGUGGCCUUCUAAGUCGAACGUGAAAUCCCCGGGCUCAACCCGGGAACUGCGUCCGAUACUGGAAGGCUUGAAUCCGGGAGAGGGAUGCGGAAUUCCAGGUGUAGCGGUGAAAUGCGUAGAUAUCUGGAGGAACACCGGUGGCGAAGGCGGCGUUCUGGACUGCAACUGACACUGAAGAACGAAAGCCAGGGGAGCAAACGGG
rnacentral:rRNA from 1 species